rnacentral:rRNA from 1 species
GCGGAUAGAGGAGACUCUUUCCUUCAGUUCGGCUGGACCGGUGACAGGUGCUGCAUGGCUGUCGUCAGCUCGUGUCGUGAGAUGUUGGGUUAAGUCCCGCAACGAGCGCAACCUCGUCCUUAGUUGCCAUCAUUUGGUUGGGCACUCUAAGGAAACUGCCGGUGAUAAGCCGGAGGAAGGUGGGGAUGACGUCAAGUCCUCAUGGCCCUUACAGGCUGGGCUACACACGUGCUACAAUGGCGGUGACAGUGGGCAGCAAACUCGCGAGGGUGAGCUAAUCUCCAAAAGCCGUCUCAGUUCGGAUCGUUCUCUGCAACUCGAGAGCGUGAAGGCGGAAUCGCUAGUAAUCGCGGAUCAGCAUGCCGCGGUGAAUACGUUCCCAGGCCUUGUACACACCGCCCGUCACACCAUGGGAGUUGGAUUCACUCGAAGGCGUUGAGCUAACCCGCAAGGGAGGCAGGCGACCACAGUGGGUUUAGCGACUGGGGUGAAGUCGUAACAAGGUAGGCGUAGAUGA